rnacentral:tRNA from 1 species
UUAGUUGAAACCAAAAUAGAGGUUUAUCACUGUUAAUGAUAAUAUAGAAUAUUUAUCUAUUCCAAUUAAA